GGUCAAGAAGAGAAGCGCAAACGGUGGAUGCCUUGGCAGUAAGAGGCGAAGAAGGACGUGGAAUCCUGCGAAAAGCUAUGGGGAGCUGGAAACGAGCGUUGAGCCAUAGAUGUCCGAAUGGGGGAACCCGGCUGCAGCGAUGCGGUCAUUUGCAUUUGAAUACAUAGGAUGCAAAGGCGAACUCGGGGAACUGAAACAUCUAAGUACCCGAAGGAAAAGAAAUCAAGAGAGAUUCUCCAAGUAGCGGCGAGCGAACGGGGAGGAGCCUGGCGUGAUUUAUUAUUGAACUGAGUAGAACAAUUUGGGAAAGUUGGCCG
rnacentral:rRNA from 1 species